UCCCGGUUUCGCCGGGCAGUCGCGUCAGGUACGUGCAACUGACACCAGGGGUUGCGCUCGUUGCGGGACUUAACCCAACAUCUCACGACACGGGCUGACGACAACCAUGCAGCACCUGUGCUGGCUCCCGAAGGUCGGUCAGGUUUCCCCUCCCUACCACCAGCAUGUCAAACCCAGGUAAGGUUCUUCGCGUAGCAUCGAAUUAAACCACACGCUCCGCUGCUUGUGCGGGCCCCCGUCAAUUCUUUUGAGUUUUAGCCUUGCGGCCGUACUCCCCAGGCGGGAUACUUAACGCGUUAACUUCGGCACAGAGGGAUUCGACUCCCCCCACACCCAGUAUCCAUCGUUUACGGCGUGGACUAC
rnacentral:misc_RNA from 1 species